CUUUCGGUUUUUCUUUCUUCUUCACUUCUAGACGUCUCUCUCUCACCCGUUACCCACCUUUCCUCUCCCGAGUUUCCUCUUCUUUUCGUUUGGGUCUGUUUCGUGAGUCUGAGUUUCAUGCCCUAACAAUUCUCCAUUUUCUUUUCCCUCACGAUCGGUCUCUCUCUCACGUCCCUCUAUUGCUCAGUAUUUGUUGAAGCUGCAGUUUUGGGUAAAACAAAUUUCAGUCUUGGUUGCUGAGAGCUUCUCCAGUUGUCCGUGGUUUUGGUGGAUUUCUUUCCCGUGCGUCUUCGUGUUUGUUGUAGUGCAGUGACUAUGUCGUUCUACUCGGUUUCUCAUAAACGUUGAGCCUUCAACUACAGUGUUAUGUCGCUCCCUUCUUUCACCGAUCACCACGCGAUGCUAGGU